GGGUUUUUUAAUUGAGAUCAACAAUUCCAAAAUAAACCCUUCUGUAAACUGAUUUGAUAGCCUCUUGGAAAGGGAAAUUAAAUCUGGGGAGAAGGCUCAAGAACUAUAACAUUAUUUGGACAAAAAUAUUAAAAUAAAUGGAUCAGAUGGAGAUUACGAAGAAAAUUGGGUCAUGAAUACCAUUCAAAUAGGUUUGAAAUAGUGGUAUGAAUAGUUUUAAAGACAUAUUGGUGGUUGCCUGAUGCUCAAUGUAUUUAUCAAGUUAUUGGAUGGGAUCCGAAAGAGCGGUGAGCUAGCGGAGCGUGUAGGGUGGACCAGGAGCGAGGGGGCAACUAAGCAGAGGAAGGCGCAACAGUAACCGGCCGCAGCCCGAAGCAGGGAGAGGGGCUGACUGGAAGCGGCCCAGGGACGGUGCAGAGGCGCCGGGCGAGGAGCCGGCGCACCAGGUCGGGAGAAGUUCCGUCGUGGAAAUGGCAAACUGGGAGCGGACGCGGUAGGGUGCAGCUCAGCCGGACGUGAAAGGAAGAAGUCAGGGCGUGGCUCAGGCGGACCUGGAUGGAAGACGGCAAGUCAGGAGCUCAGGCGGACGUGAAAGGGUGGUGGCCUAGCGGACCGGAUUCUAAGUGUACAUAAAUGAGAAAACUAGUGAAGAGAAUAUGCUGAUGUAACAAUCAUCAGGAUCAUGAAAUGCACUCCUUCAGGAUCUGGUGUCAGGCAUGCAACCAAUAUCAUUUGCCGAAAGGAACAAGGGAGGACAUUGGUCUGGGAGACGAUGCUGACAUUGGUUCAUUUAUCCUGUCAGUGAAUUCAGAGGAUUUUGCAGAUACAAUGUUGGUGGUAUCUCACUAGUGCUUGGAGGUAUCUGCUGUAGAUAGUCCAUAGCUCAGAGAGGUAUGGGGGCUAGGGUGAAUGCUCCCAGUAGACCAUGUGCUGGGUUUCAUGUUUCAUUUCAUAACUUGUUUUGGAUGUGAGUGGAAAUUGGAGUGCCCAGCAGAGAACGUACAAGUAGAACAUACAAACUCCACACAGAGAGCGCCCAAGGUGAGGAUCAAACCUUGGUCCCUGGAGCUGUGAGGCAGCAACAACUUUAACUACUGUGCCAACAUCCCCAGUGCUGAGACCCUAAUAAUACUCAUUCAGUUCUGAUGGGAAGGCUACAUCAUAAGGGCAUGUGUAAAAUAAUUAACACUGGGCUAUCUGCAAUAGAGAUGAAUAUUCAGAGAAAAUGUCCCUUUUGGUCCAUAUCCUUGUCUCAAAACCAACACUCAUAAGGCAAAAUCAGGUUUGAUUAUUUCCUCAGAUAGUGUUACAUAUUUAUGACCAUGACAAACCUAACUAUUAUUGUCAGACUACCGGGCAUUGUCCCAAUAGCACUAUUCUUCUCUAUUGUGGCAGUCUUACAUUUUCUUUGAGGUGUGGGAAUCUGCUUCAAAUCUAACAUCUCAGAGGCAACUCCUGUGUCUCUAAAAUUAGCUCGAUUGACAGCUUUGUACUCAAAGGCAUCCCAGACAGAAGAUAAAGGUAGCUUUGCUUUAGUUCAUUUUGUUUCGAUAAUAAUGAGGUGAAGAUCAGGUGUUCCAUGAAAAAUUAUCAAAGGAUGUUA